UACGAAGGGGGCUAGCGUUGUUCGGAAUUACUGGGCGUAAAGCGUGCGCAGGCGGUUGUGCAAGACAGAGGUGAAAUCCCCGGGCUUAACCUGGGAACUGCCUUUGUGACUGCACGGCUGGAGUGUGUCAGAGGGGGGUAGAAUUCCACGUGUAGCAGUGAAAUGCGUAGAUAUGUGGAGGAAUACCGAUGGCGAAGGCAGCCCCCUGGGAUAACACUGACGCUCAUGCACGAAAGCGUGGGGAGCAAACAGG
rnacentral:rRNA from 1 species